rnacentral:rRNA from 1 species
UACAGAGGAUGCAAGCGUUAUCCGGAAUGAUUGGGCGUAAAGCGUCUGUAGGUGGCUUUUUUAAGUCCGCCGUCAAAUCCCAGGGCUCAACUCUGGACAGGCGGUGGAAACUACCAAGCUUGAGUACGGUAGGGGCAGAGGGAAUUUCCGGUGUAGCGGUGAAAUGCGUAGAGAUGUGGAGGAAUACCGAUGGCGAAGGCAGCCCCCUGGGAUAACACUGACGCUCAUGCACGAAAGCGUGGGGAGCAAACAGG